AGAAGGUGAGAUCUGGGACGCCUCUCUGAGAUCCCUUCUCUCUCUGGCCAGCUUGGGCCUCAGCUAUGGGACCUGGUGCCCGUGCCCUCCCCUAUCUUCACGCCAUCAGCUCCAGCAAAGAAGGAUCUAAUUUGCCUAGGUUGGGAUCCUCCUGCCUCAGUCUCCCAGAAUGCUGUAAUUCCAGGUGUGUGCAACUAUGCCCAGCUGAACAAGGUAUCUGUAAGAAUUUUACUCAGCUCCUGUCAAUCAGCUAAAGUGAGCAGAACCUUAGGAACUGUAAAGUUUGGAAAAAUAAGAUGCAAUUAAAAAUUUUGCAAAUCUUUUGGCUUUUUCCUUCUGUAUAGAUUUUUGAGCUAUAGUUCAUUUAUAUUAGAAUACAAUGAUGGGCCAGGGAUUUAGCUCACUGGUUCUGCCACCUGCCUUGCAAGCGCAAGGUCCCGAGUUCGAUCCCUGGUAGCACCAAAACAAACAAACAAACAAAAAAACACCACAACAUUCAUUUUUAAGAGCACA
rnacentral:lncRNA from 1 species